GCCAGCGUGGUGCAGCGGUUUGAGUGUUGAGCGACGACUCCAGAGGCCAGGGUUCGAAUCCCCACUUGGCC